rnacentral:rRNA from 1 species
UACAGAGGUCCCAAGCGUUGUUCGGCUUCAUUGGGCGUAAAGGGUGCGUAGGUGGCGUGGUAAGUCGGGUGUGAAAUUUCGGAGCUUAACUCCGAAACUGCAUUCGAUACUGCCGUGCUUGAGGACUGGAGAGGAGACUGGAAUUUACGGUGUAGCGGUGAAAUGCGUAGAUAUCGGAAGGAAGACCAGUGGCGAAGGCGGGUCUCUGGACAGUUACUGACGCUGAGACGCGGAAGCGUGGGUAGCAAACAGG